rnacentral:misc_RNA from 1 species
AUUUUUGGCAGAAAUGGCAGCUUGUUGAAGUUCUUGUAUGUUUUAACUAGAACACCUGCUUUGUUAGCUAGUUCGUCUAACAGCUCAAACAAAACAUGCAUAUUGUACUUAUUAAUUGAAUAAUACAAAAACAAUAUAGUCUGCAGUGAGCUUACAAAUAUCUAAAUGGAUCUUUGAUACAAAUUGGACUAGAGCUAAAUCCGAGAAAUAUUAGAAUGCAAUUGAUGUAAGGAUUGCAUUUAUAAUAAUUGAUUAUAGUGGUUUUAUAAAUUGAUUAUAGUGUUUUGUGUGUAUUUUAUCAUAAUUAACUGUUAAAAUUUAUUUAUUAUAUGUAAUAAUUGCACUAAAUAAAAUCUCCAAAUCCAAAAAUACAAGCUUAGUGGGUUAAUUUUUCGUGUACUAGACUUUUUGAUUGUCUGAAUAUUUUUUCUCAGUAAGCAAAAAUUAAAAGGAAAAUUAAUGAUACAUUUAUGUUGUAAAAAGG